CCCUUAGAUGUUCUGGGCGGCCCGCGCACUACAAUGGCGUGUGCAGCGAGUGCCGAAGUUGAGUUUUCCGAGGUAUUCUUGCAAUGCCCGUUUUGAUGGGGAUAGACCCUUGCAACUGUUGGUUUUGAACGAGGAAUUCCUUGUAAGCAUGGUUUAUCAUCCGACGCUGAAUGCGUCCCUGCCCUUUGUACACACCGCCCGUCGCUCCUACCGAUGAGUCGUCCGGUGAAGUUCGUAGACCUCGUGAUCGCGGAUCACUGGGGGAAGCAAAAUGAACCUCGCGGUUUAGAGGAAGGAGAAGUCGUAACA
rnacentral:rRNA from 1 species